rnacentral:lncRNA from 1 species
CCAGGGCAAAUAGCUCAUGAUAGCUAAUUGAGAUUUUCUACUUAGUUCUUUGAGGUGUUUUGAUAUUAGGUGCUGAGGAAUGUUAGGGUUUUGAUCUUUCUUGAUCAAAAUCAUAAUAUAAUACAUUUUUGUUUAUAUGGAUGAAUUAUAGAGGAUCUCUGGCAAUCCACCUUCUUAGCAUCGCAAGGCACGCCUUAUGCUUGUAUUGAGGUGUUGUAUGAGAGAAAAAUCAAUAUGUGAUAAAAAAAAAUAUGCAUGAUUAGGAUUAGGAAAUAAAUUGCUUGGUUCAAAAUAAGAAAGACUGCUUUGGGAUCGGAUUU